rnacentral:rRNA from 1 species
UACAGAGGGUGCGAGCGUUGUUCGGAAUUAUUGGGCGUAAAGGGCGCGUAGGCGGUGCGGUAAGUCACCUGUGAAAUCUCCUGGCUCAACUGGGAGCUUGCAGGCGAAACUGCCGUGCUGGAGUGUGGGAGAGGUGCGUGGAAUUCCUGGUGUAGCGGUGAAAUGCGUAGAUAUCAAGUGGAACACCAGUGGCGAAGGCGAGUCCCUGGACAACUCCUGACACUGAGGCACGAAAGCUAGGGGAGCAAACAGG